rnacentral:rRNA from 1 species
AUUGAACGCUGGCGGCAGGCCUAACACAUGCAAGUCGAACGAGUGGCGGACGGGUGAGUAAUGUCUGGGAAACUGCCCGCUGGAGGGGGAUAACUACUGGAACCUGUAGCUAAUACCGCAUACCCUCGGAUGUGCCCAGAUGGGAUUAGCUAGUAGGUGGGGUAACGGCUCACCUAGGCGACUAUCCCUAGCUGGUCUGAGAGGAUGACCAGCAACACUGGAACUGAGACACGGUCCAGCAUCCUACGGGAGGCAGCAGUGGGGAAUAUUGCACAAGGGGCGCAAGACUGAUGCAGACAUGCCGCGUGUAUGAAGAAGGCCUUCGGGUUGUAAAGUACUUUCAGCGAGGAGGCGUUACUCGCAGAAGAAGCAACGGCUAACUCCGUGCCAGAAGCCGCGGUAAUUC